GAUGAACGCUGGCGGCGUGCCUAACACAUGCAAGUCGAACGGAACUUCUUUGACAGAAUUCUUCGGAAGGAAGUUGAUUAAGUUUAGUGGCGGACGGGUGAGUAACGCGUGAGUAACCUGCCUUUGAGAGGGGAAUAACUUCCCGAAAGGGAUGCUAAUACCGCAUGAUGCAUAGAAGUCGCAUGGCUUUAUGCCAAAGAUUUAUCGCUCAAAGAUGGACUCGCGUCCGAUUAGCCAGUUGGCGGGGUAGCGGCCCACCAAAGCGACGAUCGGUAGCCGGACUGAGAGGUUGAACGGCCACAUUGGGACUGAGACACGGCCCAGACUCCUACGGGAGGCAGCAGUGGGGGAUAUUGCGCAAUGGGGGAAACCCUGACGCAGCAACGCCGCGUGAAAGGAUGAAGGUUUUCGGAUUGUAAAACUUCUUUAUUUAGGACGAAGAAUGACGGUACUAAAUGAAUAAGACUCCGGCUAACUACGUAG
rnacentral:rRNA from 1 species